UCGACUGCAUGAAGCUGGAAUCGCUAGUAAUCGCGGAUCAGAAUGCCGCGGUGAAUACGUUCCCGGGUCUUGUACACACCGCCCGUCACACCAUGGGAGUCGGAUAUGCCCGAAGUCAGUGACCCAACCGCAAGGAGGGAGCUGCCGAAGGUGGAGCCGAUGACUGGGGUGAAGUCGUAACAAGGUAGC
rnacentral:rRNA from 1 species